rnacentral:tRNA from 2 species
GCCGGUAUAGCUCAGGGGUAGAGCAACGGUUUCGUAAACCGUAGGUCGGGGGUUCAAAUCCCUCUACCGGCUCCA